rnacentral:rRNA from 1 species
UGGAGGCAGCAGUGAGGAAUCUUGCGCAAUGCGCGAAAGCGUGACGCAGCAACGCCGCGUGAGGGAAGAAGGCCUUCGGGUUGUAAACCUCUUUCAGUUGGGACGAAGCCUCGCUGGUUAAUAGCCGGCUGAGGUGACGGUACCUUCAGAAGAAGCCCCGGCUAACUACGUGCCAGCAGCCGCGGUAAUACGUAGGGGGCAAGCGUUGUCCGGAAUCAUUGGGCGUAAAGCGCGUGUAGGCGGCUUGGUAAGUCCGCUCUGAAAGCCCGGGGCUCAACCCCGGGAGGCGGGUGGAUACUGUCAAGCUCGAGUCCGGAAGAGGCGAGUGGAAUUCCCGGUGUAGCGGUGAAAUGCGCAGAUAUCGGGAGGAACACCAAUGGCGAAGGCAGCUCGCUGGGACGUGACUGACGCUGAGACGCGAAAGCGUGGGGAGCAAACAGGAUUAGAUACCCCGGUAG